rnacentral:rRNA from 1 species
AGUGAACGCUGGCGGUAGGCCUAACACAUGCAAGUCGAACGGCAGCACAGUAAGAGCUUGCUCUUACGGGUGGCGAGUGGCGGACGGGUGAGGAAUAUAUCGGAACCUACUCUUUCGUGUGGGAUAACGUAGGGAAACCUACGCCAAUAUCGCAUAUGACCUACGGGUGAAAGCAGGGGAUCUUCUGACCUUGCGCGGAUGAACUAGCCGCUGUCGGAUUAGCUAGUUGGCGGGGUAAAGGCCCACCAAGGCGACGAUCCGUAGCUGGUCUGAGAGGAUGGGCAGCCACACUGGAAGUGAGACACGGUACAGACGCCUACGGGAGGCAGCAGGGGGGAAUAGUGGACAAUGGGCGGGAGCCUGAUCCAGCGGGAGCGCGUGGGUGAAGGAGGCCUUGGGGUUGGAAAGCCGUUUUGUGGGGAAAGAAAAGCAGCAGGUUGAGACGCCGCUGGUCUGACGGUACCGGGAGAAUAAGCACCGGCUAACUUCGUG